UACGUAGGGUGCAAGCGUUGUCCGGAAUUAUUGGGCGUAAAGAGCUCGUAGGCGGUCUGUCGCGUCGGCUGUGAAAACUCGGGGCUCAACCCCGAGCCUGCAGUCGAUACGGGCAGACUAGAGUGCUGUAGGGGAGACUGGAAUUCCUGGUGUAGCGGUGAAAUGCGCAGAUAUCAGGAGGAACACCGGUGGCGAAGGCGGGUCUCUGGGACGGUACUGACGCUGAGACGCGAAAGCGUGGGGAGCGAACAGG
rnacentral:rRNA from 1 species